UUUUCCAAUUAAGUUUUGUAUUGCUUUUUGGUUCAUUUUGACACCUGUUUCUAUUAUCAAGGAUUAGUACAUACUAUAAUACAAUGCAUCUGAAAGUCAUUUGUGUCCUUGGUGGAUAUUAUAUAAGAUAUCUCUGUACUGCAUUCAAAACUCUUCAAUUUGAUAUUAUAUAAGAUGUUCACCUUUCAUGUUGGGCUGUUGGCUGCACCUUGCAAGUUCAUACAAUCAAUACUUAAUGGUUUAUGAACUCUCAAUGAGAAUUUUGCGGCUCUACAAUAGCUUGCAAAUGCAUGUUUCUCAUUCCAUUUUUUAUCUUCAAUCAUCUCUCUAUUUCUCUCUAUUUCUGUACCGCUGCUAAAAUAUGCUGAUAGAAAAAAAAUUUCUAAUGUCUACAUGCUUUUGCAUGAGCUUCCUAGUGUUUGAAAUUAUCACAUUAAACCAAUAAUCAAUUCUUGAUGAAAAUUUUCUGCGCAUCAUGUUGCCAUAGGUGGCCCCUUUAUAGGUGUCAUGUAGCAUAUUUUACUUACCAAGGGAUGAAAAAAAAGUAGCACAUGGCCUAAAAAAUUGGGGCUUCUAGGCUAGUGCUUUAUUUUAUUGCUCCUUCUUGAUCUGUGGCUCAUAAAAUUGUGGCAUUGCUUCUUUAUUGGACAUGGUCUCUCUCUGUUUGUUUUAUUAUAAUUGAACUGGAUGGCAAUUGAACAUGGGAAUACCUGUUACCCCUCAACUCCCAGACUCGACUCAUCUGGUAUGUGUUUU